GAGGGUAUAGCUGAAAUGGUAGAGCACAUGCUUAGCAUGCACGAGGUCCUGGGUUCAAUGCCAGUACCACCU
rnacentral:tRNA from 1 species